rnacentral:lncRNA from 10 species
ACACAAAGAAAGAGGCUGCCCCGGACCUCCUUCUCAGCCCCCAACCUCGCCCUCCAAUCCCUGUGCCGGGAGGGAGGGCGCAUACUCAUGAGGGUGUGCAGUGUCCACACAAGUGCCUACGUGAACAACUGCACUACAGGCCAUUGGUUUGCACUCUCAUUCUGCAACCUAAUAGCUUAACCUUCCAAGGCUCUCUCGCUUUCUUUUUUCAUCUUGUAAAAUGGAGAUCAUUGUCUACCUCAUAAGAUUGCUAUGAGGAUCUUUGAGAGCUGUAGAUAGGUAAAGGCCUUUGCACUGGCUGGUAGUAAGCAAACAGAGGCUACUUUAUUAGUAAGAGGCCCUGUGAGAAUCCAAAUGUGCAUGCACUACACUUUAACCCCUGCAUGUGCAUACACUCAUGUAUGUUCAUAAGGGGGACAAGCAGCGGACGGGAGAGGGUUCUGUGACCCUAUUUCAUUCUAUCAUGUGGAAGAAGUAAAGGGACAUUUUUUUCUGUGUGAGUCCACAGCAGAACUGUAAGAGAAGACUCCCCCUCAGCCAGUUCAGAACUGCUCAACAGCAGGACUGGCUACCUCAGGGGUGAUGAGCACCUUGUCCUUGGAGGCAUUCAAGCAGAGGUUCAACAAACACUUGCAUUUCCACAACACUCUGUAGUUUACAAGGUGCUUCACCCAAAGUACUUGUCCUAGGUUAUUUCAUUCACCCUGUGUGUGUGUGGUAUCUUCUGCUCCAUUAUACAAAUAAGGAAACUGAGGCUUAGGCAGAGGAUCAUUUCCCAAAGAUACUCCACUAGUGCCUGGGCGUCAGAAUUUGAGCCCAGGUCUUUUGGAGGCAUGAGAUAGAGCCUUGAAGCCAGCCUAACAUAAUAGGUAAUCCAAGAGAGUCCCAGCUCCAUUCCCUACCUUUGCCCCUUUCCAGGCCUAGUGCCUAAGCUGCCCCAGCAGUGGCCCUACAGGGGGACGGGUCACUAGGAGAGCGGUGGAGCCUAUUUUCUCAGUCUCCAAGGUCCAUGCAGCGGGUAGGCGUCGGCUCCUCGUGGGGAACCCCAGGAGACCGUCCUGUACUCCAACCUAGGGCACCGUCUCAAGCCUGACAGGCUCUGUUCUGCCUCCUGCCUGCUGGCCCCAGGUCCUAAACUUUCCACUUCCCUCUCUCUCUCCCUCUCACAUACAACUGGCCAUGAAGAGGAACACAAUCCCCCAGCAAGCGUUUUCUUUGCCACCUGUCUUGUCCUCUGUGUCCAAGACUUUUGCGGUUACUCAUGGGAAGUCACACAGGUUGCAGUCUCCGUCAUGGUUCCCGACUUCCCUGGCCAGGGCAACGGCAAUACCAACAGCUCACAUUUAUUGAGGCCUUACUAUGUGCCGAACACUGUUCUAAGGACUUCUUGCAUCCUCACAACCUCUUUAUAAAGGAUAAUGUGGAAAUCCUUGUUCGAUUCAUAGCCUCCCUGCUUUUAACCCUGAGAGUGAGACUCACCCAACUGUCCCUCUGCUUCUUACCUCCCAAGAACGGGUAUCCUUCUCUUCAGCAGGGGCAAUCGGAAAUGUCUCCAAUGCCCUCUGCUCUACCCCACAGAGCAAAAGCCAUGAGGCAGACUGACGUCUCCUAUCCUAGAAUUUUUAAAACUAGGAGAGCACUACCUGCACCCCAUCCUGCCCGAGCCGGGAGAGGAACUGUGCUUCCUGGAGAUGGAGGCAGCCCCUCCCAGGCGUGCUGCCCACCCACAAACCAUUUCAUCACAGACCAAAGGGC